rnacentral:lncRNA from 1 species
UCCCCAAAUUCCUUUUUAUCUUUGCUAUAAUUUAAAAAUGUACUGUUGAUUUGUUAUCUAGUUUACUAAUCCUGUUUUCUGCUAAGCUCAUCUAAUUUCAGAUAUUGUGCUCAUUACGAUUAGAAUUUCUAUUUGAUUUCCAUUUGUUUUAUAGAGAUUACAAUUUUAUAAUGAAAUGCUUAAUAUUUUCAUUUAUUUUCUCUUAUUUCUCCUACUUUUUUGAAUAUUUUCAUUAUAGCUAUUGUAAAGUCCCUGUCAUCUAAUGCCAAUAUUGGAUCAACUUUAAGUCAGUUUAUACAACGUGUAUUUCUCUUUGUUUUGAGCCUGUGGUCUUAUCUUCUUGUGUAUCUAGUAAUUUUCAAUGGAAUGUCUUCAAUUGUAUAUAAUAUAUAAGUGACAUUCCAGAUAUUAUUUAGUCUUGAGGUUUAACCUUCAUCUCUGCCAGGUAGAUAAAGUGGGGCUGAUCAUUUUAAUUAAGAACUGCAGAAUAUGGGGGUCAGUUAGCCUCUAGUUGUUUUUUGUUUUUUGUUUUUUUUCUUGAGAAGGAGUUUUGCUCUUGUUGCCCAGGCUGGAGUGCAAUGGUGCAAACUUGGCUCACUGCAACCUCCACCUCCUAGGUUCAAGUGAUUCUCCUGCUUCAGCCUCCGGAGUAGCUGGGAUUACAGGUGCCCACCACCAUGCCUGGCUAAUUUUUUGUAUAUAUACAUAUAUAUAUUUUUGUAGUAGAGACAGGGUUUCACCCUGUUGAGCAGCUGGUCUCGAACUCCUGACCUCAAGUGAUCCACCCAUCUUGGCCUCCCAAAGUAUUGGGAUUACAGGUGUGAGCCACCGUGCCCAGCCUCUAGUUCUUAUAAAACAGCUGCAAAAUCCAUCCUGCUUUUCAGACUUUUUGUUUGUUUUUAAUCUCCAAACCUGUGCAGUCACAGAUAUCCAUAAGGCACUACUGGAUGUGUACUUAAUGCUCCCUCCCCUCAGUAUCAACCAAAAAUCUGUUGUUUUUCUUUAAAUACCAGACAAUGGCUCUCCAUGAGUAAAAAGCUAGAAUUUUCAGAUUUCUGCCUGCAGAUAAUCAACACAUGCCUACGAGAUAAAAGUGGCUGCAAAAAUAAGCUCUCCUUUCAGGUUCUUCACUUCAACUGUUUUAGUCUCUCUAGUCUUCUUACUCCAAUGAAUAAAAGAUUCUCGAGAAUCCAAAAUCAAGCCUCAGAAGAUAGAACAAUAAAUAUAUAAUAUAAAAAUUGACAGGAAAAAGAGUAAAGAAAGUCUCAGAUUACCAGAAUGUCAGGAAAUCCAGCUGGAAAACAAGAGAUCUAAUCUAUAUCAAUCAUGUGAUUAGGUGCAAUAUUCAUUUACGUAUAUAAAUAUUAUCUACACAUACAUGUUAACUCUGGGAUUAUCUUUCUUCCUUCAAGAGUUGAAAAUAUAAGAAAUAGAAAUGAAGUGUGUUUUACUACAUGCCAGCAUACAUUUUUUAGUCUUAUGAAGAAGACAUAUUAUUACAGUAAAAAUCUGUUUUUUGUUUUUUUUUACCACCCUUCAUUCUUUUUUAGUGUUUCUGGUAGGAAAAUAUUUCCAAUUUCUUUUAGAAAAUCAUUCUUCCCCUAUUCAUGACAUAUCCUUAGAAGCAGACCUAGAUUGUCCUAAGGCGGUCAGUAUAUUUCACUCCAUUGGUCACAGUAAUCAUUUUAGAGAUAAAUGAAUAAGCACAUGACCUCCAGUAGUCCAAUUCAAGUUUAAAAGACCCAAUUCUAGAAUUUCUGUUUUUAUUUUUGAUAAAAAACUUUUUUUUCCUUCUAGCCUUCAACUGGUAAGUUGAGAAGGCAGAAGCUUCUACCUCAUGAAUGUUAAGCCAAUACAUAGAGGAGAGCAAACAAAACCUAGAUACAGAACAAAAGUUUUGGGGUCCUACGCAAGAAUUUGCUGAAGUUAAAAGAGAAAUGAGCUACUAUUACACACGACAUGGAUGAAUCUCAAAAUCAUCAUGUUGAAAGAAGCCAGACACAAAAGAGGAGAAGACUCGACAUUUGCAUUGGCUUCUCAAAAGGGUUUCAACUACACAAAAAGUGUUUAAAAAUCCAGUUAUAUGGAGAAACAAGAUCAAUUUAUUGUCAAAAGACAGAAUUAUUCCUCUUUUGCAUCAACCAGGCUUGACAUAACUGUAAUCUCAUGGAAAUGUCUGCUACUGUAAUCAAGAAUUUGCAUGUAGAAGGAAUGCAUCACAGAAUAUAUGACAUCUUGCUAUGUCUACUGUACUAAAGAAUUAAAGAGGUUUGAAAAUAAAUACUGAAACAAAUCAGAAAGGAACCUCAAUUUUAUUAAACUAAAAUAUCAUAGCUAGGAACAUCUCAAAUUGAGAAUAAAGUUUAUAUAAUAUUUCAGAGUCAUAUGAAUGUCAUAAAAUAAUAAAAAUGUACCAUAUAAUUAUUUAAAAAGCACAAGUCUAUAAAUUGGAAACAAUGACCAGCUAAGAGAUGACAGGUAGGCUGAAACUCAACCUAUUUCCAAACCACUAAAGAAGACAUAAAUCAACUUAAAGGGAAAAUUACAUUUGUAGGUUUAUAAACAUAUUUUUAAAAACCACUCCUAUAAAGCAAAAGAUAUAAAAAGAAAACUUGAGAAAUGAUAAAAGGAUAAAGGAUAAAAAAUUAACAAAGCUAUAUGUUAGGCCACUUUGGUUCAUGCAAUUUUCUUUUGUUUCUCUCUAAAAUGGUAUAUCAAUUUUUAUUUUUCACAAACUUCUUUCAAUUAAGAAAGAAAAUACAUUUGCACAGGAAAAAGCAGUUUUUCAUCAACUUUUUCUAGUCAGUGAACAAAAGGCUGAGAAGAAAUCUUUUUUUUAAAAAAUGGUUACAUUAUAGUAUAAUGUAUAGAUUAUAUAAAUCAUGCAUUAUCUUACAGACAUAUAUAAGAAUGUAUAGGGAUAAAAUGUAUAAAAUAGAAGAACCAAAUGCUUGCAACAGAAAAUAAAAGUGUAAAGUUUAGUUCUUUUUCUGUACUAUAAAAAAACCAGCCAUCCUGAAGGCCUGUGCCAUUCUUAGGCCACUUUCAGGCAGAUUCUGAAAAGCUGGAAAGUAAACACAGGUGUUUUAAAACUAGAGCUGCUGUCACGGACAACCACAAACACCCUUAACUCUGAUGUGGCAACGCCUCUUUCCCGCCCUCUGUUUUUUAAAGCAAUACCCGAAAAGAAAAUGUCAAAUGUUUCACCUUUCAACACCUCAGAAUAAGUAAGAGCUUAAAGUGUUGUUCUGUAAUCUCUAGCAAAUAGAUCACUUUUUCACUACUUUUAAAUGUAGCCAAUUAAAUAUUAAUUACAUAAGAUAAAAAGUGGAAUUUCUUUAAAAAUUUCCACCACCCCAACCUUACACACCCUCCCUCUUCCACCAUAUUUUACAGCAGUUUCUUUAGUUCUUAAAGCAAAAUCUUUUGUUUGACCACAUUUAGAUUAUUUCUUCUAUCGUAUAGUUUUUACAGAAAAUAUCUGAUUUUUUCUUGGAAAGUUUAACGUACAACUCAGAAAAAUGCAGAGCUUUAACUGAAAUAUGUAAUUCUCUUUUAGAAAACUGUAUCCUAAUAGGUACCUAAGUAGGAGUAGAAAUCAUUUACAGAGAAAAAUAGAAGACAGAAAGUAAAAUAAUUCCCAAACUGCUACAAAACAUGGAACUCAGGUUUUGGAAUCAAUUCAUAUAUGGAAUCAAUUUUCAAACACUGAAAUAUCAAUCUAUUACUUAUAAUUGUAUAAAAUUGCCCUUAAAAAACAGGGAUAAAAUUCAUUAGGAAUUGAUAAGUUACAACCUAACUAGUAAAUAUAAGAACUAAAGAAAAAUUAAUUCUUUAUAUUUCACCAUAUACAUCAAGAAACAGGUACUGUUAAGGGAAUGGCCAAGUAAGUAUCAAUCAGUUCCCAAAUUAAUCUUGGAGGUUAUUUUGAGAGGUUUAGUCCUACCCUCAGAAUUUCACAAAUAAUUCCUUUGUGCAAUCCAUGUAAGAAAUGUUCUCUGAAAUCACACUUGUUUGUAUAUUUGAUAAUUUUUUUUAAAAAACUGGUAGUUUCUUUGUGCUGUAAGCUUUAAAUAAAGAGAUGUCUGCCUUUUUAAAUAAUAAAAUAAAAAUUAAUGAAUAGGAA